ACGGGAGGCAGCAGCUAAGAAUAUUCCGCAAUGGACGAAAGUCUGACGGAGCGACGCCGCGUGGAUGAUGAAGGUCGGAAGAUUGUAAAAUCCUUUUAUGACUGAGGAAUAAGCAGUGUGAGAGAAACGCAUUGUGGUGACUGUAGGUCAUGAAUAAGCAACGGCUAAUUACGUGCCAGCAGCCGCGGUAACACGUAAGUUGCGAGCGUUGUUCGGAAUUAUUGGGCGUAAAGGGCAUGUAGGCGGUUUUGCAAGCUUGGUGUGAAAUCUCGGAGCUCAACUCCGAAAUUGCGUUGAGAACUGCAUAACUAGAGUCACUGAGGGGCAAUCAGAAUUCCAGGUGUAGGGGUGAAAUCUGUAGAUAUCUGGAAGAAUACCAAUGGCGAAGGCAGCCUGCCAGCAGAUGACUGACGCUGAGGUGCGAAGGUGCGGGGAGCAAACAGGAUUAGAUACCCUGGUA
rnacentral:rRNA from 1 species